CAAGCUUGGUGGUGGCACUUCCCGAAUUAGCGGGUGGUGGUUCUGUGCGCAUACGUAAAUAAGUACAGUUUCGAAAACCCGCUCAACGAGCGGGUUUUUUUAU
rfam:Idiomarina baltica OS145 scf_1099451322326 genomic scaffold, whole genome shotgun sequence.